rnacentral:rRNA from 1 species
UACGUAGGGGGCUAGCGUUGUCCGGAAUCAUUGGGCGUAAAGCGCGCGUAGGCGGCCCGGUAAGUCCGCUGUAAAAGUCAGGGGCUCAACCCUUGAACGCCGGUGGAUACUGCCGGGCUAGAGUCCGGAAGAGGCGAGUGGAAUUCCUGGUGUAGCGGUGGAAUGCGCAGAUAUCAGGAGGAACACCAAUAGCGAAGGCAGCUCGCUGGGACGGUACUGACGCUGAGGCGCGAAAGCGUGGGGAGCAAACAGGAUUAGAUACCCUGGUAGUCCACGCCGUAAACGAUGGGCACUAGGUGUGGGAGGUGUCGACUCCUUCCGUGCCGUCGCUAACGCACUAAGUGCCCCGCCUGGGGAGUACGGCCGCAAGGCUAAA